rnacentral:rRNA from 1 species
AUAUCAAUAAGCGGAGGAAAAGAAACCAACAGGGAUUACCUCAGUAACGGCGAGUGAAGCGGUAACAGCUCAAAUUUGAAAUCUAGCGCUUUCAGCGUUCGAGUUGUAAUUUGUAGAAGAUGCUUUGGGUGUGGCUCCGGUCUAAGUUCCUUGGAACAGGACGUCAUAGAGGGUGAGAAUCCCGUAUGUGACUGGCUGCCUUCGCCUAUGUAAAGCUCUUUCGACGAGUCGAGUUGUUUGGGAAUGCAGCUCUAAAUGGGAGGUAUAUUUCUUCUAAAGCUAAAUAUUGGCCAGAGACCGAUAGCGCACAAGUAGAGUGAUCGAAAGAUGAAAAGCACUUUGGAAAGAGAGUUAAACAGUAC